GAUUUGUUAGUGGGGGUGGGAGUUACUCACUCAACGACUUCUAACCCUAGUAUUUUUGUGGCUAAUUGUCUUCACCCGGAAGUCAGGUUGACUGCUCUAUUGGAAUUGAGAUUUGGUCUGCAUAUCAUUGUUUGAUUUCAGCUGUUCCUAGAUGGAUUCCAGGUUCUCAAACGUGGGGUUCCCUGCUAAUUAUUCUUUGAAUGCAUUCAAGAUUUUGGGUAAUUCAAUGCAAGUUGGAGGAACUGGGGGUGCGUAUAACAUGGAUACUGUUCUACGUCUUGAUUCUGCUGGCUCUUCAGUCUCUGACGUGUCUGCAUCAAAGGGAAUCAAGAGGAAGUGGAGUUCGAUGGAUGGAUCCAUCCGUGGGCAAACUGGGUCGUUAUUGGCUCUUGGGCUAGGCCGCUCCUCUAGUUCCUCAGACAGCAAGGGGAGUUCAACAACUGCUUGUACUACUACAUCUUCAGCCAAAGAAGCUGAUGAAGAGUCCUCAAUGGAUAUUGAAUUGGAUUUUACCCUCCAUCUUGGCAACGAAAAAGUAAUCAACCCCAAGAAAUCUGCUAGUUCAAGUCCAAAAGGACUUGAUUUGCAGCGAAAUGUGGACCUGGAAUUAAGUCUUUCAUCUGGACUUUCUGAAUCUGAUAUCACUAGUGUCCAUCUUAGCUCUUCUCC
rnacentral:lncRNA from 1 species